rnacentral:rRNA from 1 species
GACGAACGCUGGCGGCGUGCCUAAUACAUGCAAGUCGAACGCUGAAGGAGGAGCUUGCUUCUCUGGAUGAGUUGCGAACGGGUGAGUAACGCGUAGGUAACCUGCCUGGUAGCGGGGGAUAACUAUUGGAAACGAUAGCUAAUACCGCAUAACAGUAGAUAUCGCAUGAUAUCUACUUGAAAGGUGCAAUUGCAUCACUUCCAGAUGGACCUGCUUUGUAUUAGCUAGGUGGUGAGGUAACGGCUCACCAAGGCGACGAUACAUAGCCGACCUGUGAGGGGGAUCGGCCACCCUGGGAGUGAGACACGGCCCAGACUCCUACGGGAGGCAGCAGUAGGGAAUCUUCGGCAAUGGACGGAAGUCUGACCGAGCAACGCCGCGGGAGUGAAGAAGGGUUUCGGAUCGUAAAGCUCUGUUGUAAGAGAAGAACGAGUGUGAGAGUGGAAAGUUCACACUGUGACGGUAUCUUACCAGAAAGAGACGGCUAACCACGUG